rnacentral:rRNA from 1 species
UACGGGGGGGGUAAGCGUUGUUCGGAAUUACUGGGCGUAAAGGGCUCGUAGGCGGCCAACUAAGUCAGACGUGAAAUCCCUCAGCUUAACUGGGGAACUGCGUCUGAUACUGGAUGGCUUGGAUUCGGGAGAGGAAUGCGGAAUUCCAGGUGUAGCGGUGAAAUGCGUAGAUAUCUGGAGGAACACCGGUGGCGAAGGCGGCAUUCUGGACCGAUAUUGACGCUGAGGCGCGAAAGCGUGGGGAGCAAACAGG